UACGUAGGUGGCAAGCGUUUGUCCGGAAUUAUUGGGCGUAAAGCGCGCGCAGGCGGUCCCUUAAGUCUGAUGUGAAAGCCCACGGCUCAACCGUGGAGGGUCAUUGGAAACUGGGGGACUUGAGUACAGAAGAGGAAAGCGGAAUUCCACGUGUAGCGGUGAAAUGCGUAGAGAUGUGGAGGAACACCAGUGGCGAAGGCGGCUUUCUGGUCUGUAACUGACGCUGAGGCGCGAAAGCGUGGGGAGCGAACAGG
rnacentral:rRNA from 1 species